GGGGGUACUCCCAUUUAGCACUGUGUUGCGGGGAAAAUAUAACUUGAACCUGGAUCAAAAUGACUUGUAACUACCUGUUAGACUUAAGGAAGGAAACAUUUACCCAAAUUGAAACCCUUAUCUUUUUCUGGUCAAAUAAAAAUUCUCCUUGCCCCCCCCCCCGUGUAAUGUCAAAAUUUUACCCAUUUUGGCGCAUUUAUACCCCACCCUACAGUGUUCCCUGCGGAGAGAUGACCCCCGGGACAGGGUGCAACCUGUAGUCUAACAUGUCCCCUCCCUGCCAGUCUGUACCGCCCCACCUCCCAUCCUUGUCAUUUUCACACUAUUUCACUUACCGUCUGCCCUACUUUCUUCUUGCAUGAAAAGUGAUCACACCUGUCAACAGCCACCGUUUUGCAUCUGACUCCCAAGCAUCCCCCUAUAACACUAUGGGACCUACAUGCUUUACAUCAAAAUACAGGAAUGAUUCCCUGCUAUCAUAAAAUUAUCACCUAUAAUCAAUUUACUAAUUUUCAUAGUACAUACAGGCCUUCAAAUACAGUAACACCCAUUUUUACUAAAAUAUUGACGGUUACUUUAUGCGAAACUGUCCCUUGCUACCUACCCCUGAGAUAUGUAGUAAUUUGCACACUGUGACAAAUUACUCUUUCAAAAAUGUUUAUUGUGGAAAUUGUAAUUUACUUUUAAUUUAACAAAAUGGAUAAUCAUGGUGAUUAUUAACAUCCAUCUAGUAGUCAUAUUUUUUUGGGUAACAAUAUUUGAAGACCCUGACAAACGCAAAAUACUGUAAACUAGGGUUAAUUUUGUCCUGUGCUAUUUUCGCUUCAUCAAUGUUUUUUUAAUGUGCAGUUCAUGUUAUACUUCUAAAUUAUAAGUGGAUG
rnacentral:sRNA from 1 species